UUUGAAUCUUAUCUCCGAGCUUUCGAGUUUAUAUUGGAUUAAUGUGCUCACUGAAGUGGUAACCCAAAGAUGCAAUAUGUGUUUUGCAUUCGAAAGCUCGCGAUAAUGAGGACGGAACCGCCGAACGUCUAUAUUUCCACGCACCAGUUUUCCAUAUUUGAAAAAUGUUCGAACACUUGAUUACUCAAUUAACAACCUUUCUGCACGUUGUUAAGAUCAGAAAUUCUUUGACUCUGUUUACGUUAUAUUGUUUUCACAUUACACGCCCUGUUAAAUAUACAUUAUGUUCUAUGUUGUUUUGUAAUAAAGUUCAGUUUGAUAUGAACUCGUUCUCAGUGGUAAACCGUUUCAGAAUUAAGCCAACUUUAUACUACGCCACGUGUUUUGGGUUUUCAUUUCAGUGCCGCGAUGGACAUCCGAGUCGACGGGUGUUCGUGACGAUUUCCCGCGCUUUUCCGUACAACGGAUUCGCGAAGGAUUUUUUAAAUUGUUAUUUUUUUUAAUAAGGCCAAGGAAUUUUGUGAUAAUGUUACGUUAAUGUCGGGAAUAAGUCAAUUUAGUGAGAGUGUGUAUAAAUUAUAGUUCUGUGGUUAAUUUUCAUCAACAGAACUUGUCAUUUUGAUAUAAAAAAAAAUUUUUGCUUUAAAGGAAAUAUCUAUUUUUAUAUUAUGUUUGAAAUUAAACUAAAUCAAGAAAACAGUGUUCAGUAGUAUAAACAAAAAAAUUUUAGCAAUAACCAGUUCAAUUAAAAAUAGACACAUCCGUAGUAAUAUAAAUAAAGUGUUAAUCUAUAUAAAAUAACAAUAACUUCAAGUGCCGUGUUUUACACAUAUGUGACGAGUUUUGUAAGUUGGCAAUUAGUUACCUGUCAGUGACAAGUUUUAGUUGGUAAUCAGUUGGUGAAGUUGAUGACGAGUUUUACAAGUUAGUGAUUAUUUGAUGAAGUUAGUGACGAGUUUCGCAAGUUGAUGUUCAGUUGACGAGUUAGUGACGCGUUUGCCAAGUCGUAGACGAGUUCGUCAAGUUGGUGCACGUAGCGUGCGCGGACUGCGCGCGUCGUGCAGGUCGCGCGCGACACGUGCCCGCGCGCGACCGCGAGCCAUGCUCUGACCGUGUCAUGGAGACUAUUUCUGAAGAUGCCGAAGCCGAAUUGGAGCUUG